rnacentral:rRNA from 1 species
AACGUAGGACGCAAGCGUUAUCCGGAUUUACUGGGCGUAAAGCGCGUGCAGGCGGUUGCUCAAGUCUGAUGUGAAAUCUCCUCGCUCAACGGGGAGCAGCCAUUGGAAACUGGGCAACUGGAGUCUGGCAGAGGUAGGCGGAAUUCCGGGUGGAGUGGUGAAAUGCGUAGAGAUCCGGAGGAACACCAGAGGCGAAGGCGGCCUACUGGGCCAGUACUGACGCUGAGCCGCGAAAGCGUGGGGAGCGAACAGG